UCGAUUAGAAGCAUCCUGUCUUCCUCUUGAUCGGACGCGUGUAUCCGAGAUGAUAAAGUGAGGCCGAUGAUAUUGUUCGAACAACCGAUCGAGGGGUCAUCGCGAUCUCGCGGCAGGAUCCAACUUCUUGCAAAGGAUUGGAGAUUUUCCGAUGGACUCCGUAGCAGGCUCUAGAAAGAACACCCGUCGCCAAUCUGACUCUUAACUCUCUAAUUACGAUCCUCAUUUCGAGGCAAUCUUUCGGUACCACAAACA
rnacentral:misc_RNA from 1 species